CAUUAAAUAAAUGUAAUAUACAAAUAACGUUCAUAUUGUAUACUUCUUCCAGUUUGCAACCGGUGAGAAGCGCGAUAACACAUAAACAUGUUAUUUGUUUCUUUGUGCAAAGCGAAAUAAAUGCCAUGGAUGACAAAAUAGCGAGCGAUAUUUCAGAACAUUUCAACAUUCUAUGAUUACAUACGAAGUUUAAUCGACUUAAAGCCUGCUGAAAUUCGAAAAAUCGCUCGCGAUUUGAUUUCACCAAGCCACGCGAAAAUUAUAAAAAUAGAACAGGACCCACGCAUACGUUAAAUGCGACGGUGAUUUUUCAGUUUCGUGCCGUCAAGAAAACUAUUUCUUUACGUUUUCGGAUAAUUCAUUUACCCGAUUGCGGAAGUGUGACUUGAAACAUACUGAAUUUAUUUAUUUACGUCCAACAAAUACCAUGUUAGCGAGUGUAAUGGGUUGGCAGUGGUACUAACAACGUAAUCAGCAUCCUGCUUAUUCAUGUAACCAUGCAGUGUGACACAGCACGGUGAAAUAAAAUGGUGCAUUAGUGAAAAAUGGAUAAUUGGAUCAAAAAAUGUCUAAAUGUUUGUUUGCAACAAUAAAUGGCACACAACAUCGAAAUGUAUGAAUAUGGUUUGUAACACAUGUCAUUCUAUGUAAUGCACAAGUAUGUCGCAAUUUACUCUCACUUGGUU